UUUCCCCAGCAAUCAUCCACCACCAGCACCACCUCAGACCCUACACACCCACCUGGAUAACAUCGUGCACCCGAUCCGGGCCUCCCAGACGGUCCACAAUCCCGCCUUUAUUAUUAAGUUCAUUAGCUGCCUUCUUAAAGCUGUCCUUACGCACCGUCCGCAAAGCCUGUAGUAACCGGAAGGGGAACGGGCAUUUGCGGCACCAGCAAUCACAUACAUUAACAGUAGAA
rnacentral:lncRNA from 1 species